AAGUCUAAAACGACUCUCGGCAACGGAUAUCUCGGCUCUCGCAUCGAUGAAGAACGUAGCGAAAUGCGAUACUUGGUGUGAAUUGCAGAAUCCCGUGAACCAUCGAGUCUUUGAACGCAAGUUGCGCCCCAAGCCUUCUGGCUGAGGGCACGUCUGCCUGGGUGUCACA
rnacentral:rRNA from 1 species